rnacentral:rRNA from 1 species
GCAAGUCGAGCGGUAGCACAGAGAAGCUUGCUUCUUGGGUGACGAGCGGCGGACGGGUGAGUAACGCGUAGGAAUCUACCUGGUAGUGGGGGAUAGCCCAGAGAAAUUUGGAUUAAUACCGCAUACGCCCUACGGGGGAAAGGAGGGGAUCUUCGGACCUUUCGCUAUCAGAUGAGCCUGCGUGAGAUUAGCUUGUUGGUGAGGUAAAGGCUCACCAAGGCGACAAUCUCUAGCUGGUCUGAGAGGAUGAUC